rnacentral:rRNA from 1 species
UGAAUACGAGAUGCUACGGCGUCGAAGCAGUGUAUGUCAGACUUCCAAGAAAAGCUCGCAAUGUCAUAAAUAAAGAAUGCCUGUACCAUAACCGACACAGGUGGGUAGGUAGAGUAUACUAAGGGGCGCGAGAUAACUCUCUCUAAGGAACUCGGCAAAAUAACUCCGUAACUUCGGGAGAAGGAGUGCCUUCUUUAAGAAGGUUGCAAUAACAAGAUCCAAGCAACUGUUUAUCAAAAACACAGGUCUCCGCUAAGUCGUAAGACGAUGUAUGGGGGCUGACGCCUGCCCAGUGCCAGAAGGUUAAAGAAGCUGGUUAGCAAUAGCGAAGCUGGUGACUGAAGCCCUGGUGAACGGCGGCCGUAACAAUAACGGUCCUAAGGUAGCGAAAUUCCCUGUCGGGUAAGUUCCGACCCGCACGAAAGGCGUAAUGAUUUGGAUACUGUCUCGGAGAGGGACUCGGUGAAAUAGACUUGUCUGUGAAGAUGCGGACUACCUGCACCAGGACAGAAAGACCCUACGAAGCUUUACUGUAACCUGAAAUUGAAAUUGGACUUUAUUUGCGCAGUAUAGGUGGGAGGCGUUGAAAGUAAUCUUGCGGGAUUAGUGGAGCCAUCAGUGAGAUACCACUCCUAUAAUGUUAGAUUUCUAACUUUGGAUCAUGAUCUGGUCAAAGAACAGUUUCAGGCGGGCAGUUUGACUGGGGCGGUCGCCUCCCAAAUGGUAACGGAGGCGUACAAAGGUUUCCUCUGAACGGGUAGAAAUCGUAUCUAGAGUGUAAAGGCAUAAGGAAGCUUGACUGUGAGACCUACAAGUCGAGCAGGGACGAAAGUCGGUCUUAGUGAUCUGACGGUGCUGAGUGGAAAGGCCGUCACUCAACGGAUAAAAGUUACUCUAGGAUAACAGGCUGAUCUCCCCCAAGAGUUCACAUCGACGGGGAGGUUUGGCACCUCGAUGUCGGCUCAUCGCAUCCUGGGGCGGUAGUACGUCCCAAGGGUUGGGCUGUUCGCCCAUGAAAGCGGUACGCGAGCUGGGUUCAGAACGUCGUGAGACAGUUUGGUCCAUAUCCGGUGUAGGCGUUAGAAUAUUGAGAGGAGCCUUCUCUAGUACGAGAGGACCGAGAAGGACAUACCUCUGGUGUACCAGUUAUCGUGCCAACGGUAAACGCUGGGUAGCUAUGUAUGGAGAGGAUAACCGCUGAAAGCAUCUAAGUGGGAAGCCCACCUCAAGAUGAGUAUUCUCAUC